AUUUAUAUACGGUGCGGUUAAUACAAUACUACAAUGCUAUUUAUAAACCGUGUGGUUAAUAGUCUAAAUAUGGUAAGACCCUCAUUGAAUCAGCUCCCCCAAACUUCUCUUUUCUGAGUGGUACAAGAACAGACAAAAGAGGAGGGGGAAUAGCCACACUGUUCAGAAGAGGAGAAGAGGAGAAGAGGAGGGGGAAUAGCCACACUGUUCAGAAGAGGAGAAGAGGAGAAGAGGAGGGGAAUAGCCACACUGUUCAGAAGAGGAGAAGAGGAGGGGGAUAGCCACACUGUUCAGAAGAGGAGAAGAGGAGAAGAGGAGGGGGAAUAGCCACACUGUUCAGAAGAGGAGAAGAGGAGGGGGAUAGCCACACUGUUCAGAAGAGAAGAGGAGGAGAAGAGGAGAAGAGGAAGGGGAUAGCCAACAUUGUUGAUGAGCUAGGCACACUGUUGAUGAGCUAGUGUUGAUGAGCUAGGCACACUGUUGAUGAGCUAGGCACACUGUUGAUGAGCUAGGCACACUCUUGUCGUUACUUGUACAAAUUCUGAUUGUGUUUUUGUAUCAGGGUAUUUUAACUUGCAUGUAGAUAAUCCAGAAAACAGUUAUGCUAAG
ensembl:lncRNA